GUCCAGGAUCCCGGCCUAGCUGGCGGCCCCCAGCCCCCAGCUCAUUCCGUUUUCUAGAAGGCGCGUUGCCGCUCGCUCACGCACGCGCAAGCCUUGCAGUUUCUGGUUCCGUCUAGCUGCGGACUGUACCAAGUAAACCCGGACAGCGAGGGGCAAAGCCCGGAACCCCCUGCGCGGGCCUCGUCGAUGGCCCGACUCACGGAGCCCCUCUUCCCACCGAGCGAUGGGAAUGGUCCAUCUCGCCGCGCAAGCGCCCUAGGCUCCUCUCGCCGCUUUGCACUCCCUCCUCCCCGACUUGCAGCGCAGGCGCAGAGCCCAGGCGUGCAGCCGCCGCCGCCGAGCCAGAGCGGGGGCCGCUAGCGCCGCAUCCCGCUCUACUUGCCGACGUCCUGCACUGGAGAACUUGUGACCAAGGUGUGGCUGUGAAGAGCUGGCCGGGGAGGGACUCUGCCUAGCUGCUCCUCUGCUCCUGUCUCCUGUCCCCUCCCCUGGCCAUGACAGAGACCCGUGAGCCCACUGAGACUGGGGGCUAUGCCAGCUUGGAAGAAGAUGAUGAGGACCUCUCUCCAGGCCCUGAGCAUUCCUCUGACUCUGAGUACACUCUCUCAGAGCCAGACUCCGAAGAGGAAGAAGAUGAGGAGGAGGAGGAGGAGGAGGCUACUGAUGAUCCUGAAUAUGACCCUGGCUACAAGGUGAAGCAGCGCCUGGGGGGGGGCCGGGGGGGCCCAUCUCGUCGGGCCCCCCGUGCAGCCCAACCCCCAGGCCCCCCAGCCCAGCCCUGCCAGCUCUGUGGCCGCUCACCCCUUGGGGAGGCCCCACCAGGCACCCCACCUUGCCGGCUCUGCUGCCCUGCUACAGCCCCCCAGGAAGCUCCAGCCCCUGAAGGCAGGGUCCUCGGGGAGGAAGAGGAGGAGCCACCUCGGGUUGGGGAGGGCCGACCAGCUGGGAGGGAGGAGGAGGAGGAGGAGGAAGAGGAGGAGGGCACUUACCACUGUACAGAGUGUGAGGAUUCCUUCGACAACCUCGGGGAGCUGCAUGGGCACUUCAUGCUGCAUGCCCGGGGUUGGUAGGCAACCCUUCUCCACACAGUGAUUUGAGGACGCAGGCCAUCCCUUAGCCUACUGUCAUCCACAUGGUCCUGGCUGAGUGGCCAUGGCCUGGGUCCUGCCAUGGUGGAAGAGGACGGUGAGCGUGGAGAGAAGCUUGGCAACUAAGAAUCUUCAAGAAUAGAACCUGAAUUACCGUAAUGGCCAUCAUUAAAUCAGCGCUCACGGUGGACCAGGCCCUGGGCUAAAGUGCUUUAUAUGGACAAUCGCAUCGGAUCCUUAUGAGAACACUUUCGUUUUGAUGCCUGUUACAGAAUCUUAUACCAAAGCAUCUGUCAAAACCCACACUUUUCAUCCUAGAAGCUCAGAAUCUGAGAACCUGACAUUUAUCCACUCUUCAAGUUGAGACUUUCAUAACCACUAUAGCUUAACAUCAAUGAAUCUCAGAAUCGUCAAAGCAGAAAAUCACAGCUCAUUAAAAUACCACGGAUGGAUUUUA